rnacentral:rRNA from 1 species
AUUGAACGCUGGUGGCAGGCCUAACACAUGCAAGUCGAGCGGAGCGGCGGACGGGUGAGUAAUGCCUAGGAAUCUGCCUGGUAGUGGGGGAUAACGUCCGGAAACGGGCGCUAAUACUGCAUACUAUCAGAUGAGCCUAGGUCGGAUUAGCUAGUUGGUGGGGUAAAGGCCUACAAAGGCGACGAUCCGUAUCUGGUCUGAGAGGAUGAUCAGUCACACGGGAACUGAGACACGGUCCAGACUCCUACGGGAGGCAGCAGUGGGGAAUAUUGGACAAUGGGCGAAAGCCUGAUCCAGCCAUGCCGCGUGUGUGAAGAAGGCCUUCGGGUUGUAAAGUACUUUCAGCGAGGAGGCGUUACUCGCAGAAGAAGCACCGGCUAACUCCGUGCCAGCAGCCGCGGUAAUUC